UGUAGUCUUUGAUGCAGAAGGGUUAGAACGUCCUGGGCUUCAUUUGGCACCCCCACCCUUCUAAUCCUCCACCACAGCCCACUCUCAGAUCAGCCUUCAGGGACUUUCCCCUUAUCUAAGGACAGCACCCACAGACAAGAAAAUGGCCACUGGGCCUCUGAGAGCCAGGGGUGAGAUGAUUUCUAUAUCCAGCAACAUUGCUGUGAACAUUCCUUUACAUGUCUCCUGAUACAUCAGCACAAGUACUUGUUUGGUAUAUUCCAACAGAGUUUGAAUACUCAAUU